AAGUCGUAACAAGGUUUCCGUAGGUGAACCUGCGGAAGGAUCAUUACCGAGUGAGGGCCCUCUGGGUCCAACCUCCCACCCGUGUUUAUUUUACCUUGUUGCUUCGGCGGGCCCGCCUUAACUGGCCGCCGGGGCUAGCUGCCCGGCCCGGCCGCCGCCCGCAGAACGACCAUCCGAUCGAUCUCGUCUGACUGAAGUUGUAGUCUGAGUGAAAAAUAUAAACUAUUUAAAA
rnacentral:misc_RNA from 1 species